AUUGAACGGCGGCGGAAUGCUUUACACAUGCAAGUCGAACGGCAGCACGGAGAGCUUGCUCUCUGGUGGCGAGUGGCGAACGGGUGAGUAAUAUAUCGGAACGUGUCCAAUAAUGGGGGAUAACGAGUCGAAAGAUUCGCUAAUACCGCAUACGCCCUACGGGGGAAAGCAGGGGAUCGUAAGACCUUGCGUUAAUGGAGCGGCCGAUAUCUGAUUAGCUAGUUGGUGAGGUAAAGGCUCACCAAGGCGACGAUCAGUAGCUGGUUUGAGAGAACGACCAGCCACACUGGAACUGAGACACGGUCCAGACUCCUACGGGAGGCAGCAGUGGGGAAUUUUGGACAAUGGGGGCAACCCUGAUCCAGCCAUUCCGCGUGAGUGAAGAAGGCCUUCGGGUUGUAAAGCUCUUUCGCAAGGGAAGAAAACUUAUGAUCGAAUAAAUCAUGAGGUUGACGGUACCUUGAUAAGAAGCACCGGCUAACUACGUGCCAGCAGCCGCGGUAAUACGUAGGGUGCGAGCGUUAAUCGGAAUUACUGGGCGUAAAGCGUGCGCAGGCGGUUUUGUAAGUCGGAUGUGAAAUCCCCGGGCUCAACCUGGGAACUGCGUUCGAAACUGCAAGGCUAGAGUGUGUCAGAGGGGGGUAGAAUUCCACGUGUAGCAGUGAAAUGCGUAGAGAUGUGGAGGAAUACCAAUGGCGAAGGCAGCCCCCUGGGAUAACAC
rnacentral:rRNA from 1 species